AGGACGAACGCUGGCGGCGUGCUUAACACAUGCAAGUCGAACGCGCUCCAUUCGGUAGCAAUACUGAUGAAGAGCGAGUGGCGAACGGGUGAGUACCACGUGAGCAACCUGCCCCGAAGACUGGGACAACACCGGGAAACCGGUGCUAAUACCGGAUACCCUUGUCGGACCGCAUGAUCCGACAAGGAAAUGAAUUUUGCUUUCGGGAGGGGCUCGCGGCCUAUCAGCUUUGUUGGUGGGGUAAUGGCCUACCAAGGCAUCGACGGGUAGCU
rnacentral:rRNA from 1 species